rnacentral:rRNA from 1 species
AAACUCACCAGGUCAGGACGACGGUAAGGAUUGACGGACGUGAAGGCUCUUUCUCGAUUCCGUGGAAAGUGGUGCAUGGCCGUUUUUGGUUGGUGGAUCGAUCCGUCUGGUUAAUUCCGUUAACGAACGAGACCUCGGCACUCCGAAUAGCGCGGCGGACGUCGCGGCCUCCGGGCCGUCUUCCGCACGAGCUUCUUAGAGGGACCGUCCCCCGCCGGGGAAGGAGGUGCGAGGCAACGACAGGGUCUGUGAUGCCCCUUAGAUGUUCUGGGGCCGCACGCGCAUUACACUGACGCGUCCAACGGGUGACUCCCGACCCGAAGGGGCCGGGGAAUCCGCAAGGCGCGUCGUGAUGGGGAUUGAACGUUGCAAUUGUUGUUCACGAACGAGGAAUUCCUAGUAGGCGCGGGGUCAUCAACCCCGCGCCGAUUUACGUCCCUGCCCUUUGUACAC